AUUGAACGCUGGCGGCAUGCUUUACACAUGCAAGUCGAACGGUAACAGGUUAAGCUGACGAGUGGCGAACGGGUGAGUAAUGCAUCGGAACGUGCCCGAUCGUGGGGGAUAACGCAGCGAAAGCUGCGCUAAUACCGCAUACGAUCUGAGGAUGAAAGCGGGGGACCGUAAGGCCUCGCGCGAUCGGAGCGGCCGAUGUCAGAUUAGGUAGUUGGUGGGGUAAAGGCUCACCAAGCCAACGAUCUGUAGCUGGUCUGAGAGGACGACCAACCACACUGGGACUGAGACACGGCCCAGACUCCUACGGGAGGCAGCAGUGGGGAAUUUUGGACAAUGGGCGAAAGCCUGAUCCAGCAAUGCCGCGUGCAGGAAGAAGGCCUUCGGGUUGUAAACUGCUUUUGUACGGAGCGAAAAGUCUCUCUCUAAUACAGGGGGCUCAUGACGGUACCGUAAGAAUAAGCACCGGCUAACUACGUGCCAGCAGCCGCAGUAA
rnacentral:rRNA from 1 species